rnacentral:rRNA from 1 species
UACGGAGGGUGCGAGCGUUGUCCGGAAUCACUGGGCGUAAAGGGCGCGUAGGCGGCGCGGGGAGUCAACGGUGAAAGCUCGGCGCUCAACGCCGAGUCGGCCGUCGAUACUCCCGUGCUCGAGCACUGUAGAGGCAGGUGGAAUUCCGGGUGUAGCGGUGGAAUGGCGUAGAGAUCCGGAAGAACACCGGUGGCGAAGGGCGGGUCACUGGGGCCCGUAACUGG